rnacentral:rRNA from 1 species
UAGGGAAUCUUCCGCAAUGGGCGAAAGCCUGACGGAGCAACGCCGCGUGAGUGAUGAAGGUCUUCGGAUCGUAAAACUCUGUUAUUAGGGAAGAACAAAUGUGCAAGUAACUAUGCACGUCUUGACGGUACCUAAUCAGAAAGCCACGGCUAACUACGUGCCAGCAGUCGCGGUAAUACGUAGGUGGCCAGCGUUAUCCGGAAUUAUUGGGCGUAAAGCGCGCGUAGGCGGUUUUUUAAGUCUGAUGUGAAAGCCCACGGCUCAACCGUGGAGGGUCAUUCGAAACUGGAAAACUUGAGUUCAGAAGAGGAAAGUGGAAUUCCAUGUGUAGCGGUGAAAUGCGCAGAGAUAUGGAGGAACACCAGUGGCGAAGGCGACUUUCUGGUCAGAAACUGACGCUGAUGUGCGCAAGGGUGGGGAUCAAACAGG